AGAUGACGAGUGGCGGACGGGUGAGUCAUGCUGGGGAACUUGCCUUUGGGAGGGGGAUAACCGUUGGAAACGACUGCUAAUACCGCAUAAUGUCUUCGGACCAAACGGGGCUUAGGCUCCGGCGCUAAUAGAGGCCCAAGUGAGAUUAUCUAGUUGGUAAGGUAACGGCUUACCAAGGCGACGAUCUCUAGCUGUUCUGAGAGGAAGAUCAGCCACACUGGGACUGAGACACGGCCCACACUCCUACGGGAGGCAGCAGUGGGGAAUAUUGCACAAUGGGGGAAACCCUGAUGCACCCAUGCCGCGUGUGUGAAGAAGGCCUUCGGGUUGUAAAGCACUUUCAGUUGUGAGGAAAAGUUAAUUUUUAAUACCUGCUACCCGUGACGUUAACAACAGAAGAAGCACCGGCUAACUCCGUGCCAGCAGGCGGGGUAAUACGGAGGGUGCGAGCGUCAAUCGGAAUUACUGGGCGUAAAGCGCACGUAGGCGGUUUGUUAA
rnacentral:rRNA from 1 species